CGGCUUANCCGUUAAACUGCUUGAGAAACUGAUAAUNUAGAGUAAGGGAGAGGCAGAUGGAAUUCUUGGUGUAGGGGUAAAAUCCGUAGAGAUCAAGGAGAAUACCCAUUGCGAAAGCGAUCUGCUGGAACUUAACUGACGCUAAUGCGUGAAAGCGUGGGGAGCAAACAGGAUUAGAUACCCUGGUAGUCCACGCCCUAAACGAUGUAUACUAGUUGUUGCUUCGCUAGUCGAGGCAGUAAUGCACCUAACGGAUUAAGUAUACCGCCUGGGGAGUACGGUCGCAAGAUUAAAACUCAAAGGAAUAGACGGGGACCCGCACAAGCGGUGGAGCAUGUGGUUUAAUUCGAAGAUACGCGAAGAACCUUACCCGGACUUGAUAUCUAACAAAUCAUCCAGAGAUGGAAGAGUGUCUGCUUGCAGAAAUGUUAAGACAGGUGCUGCACGGCUGUCGUCAGCUCGUGUCGUGAGAUGUUGGGUUAAGUCCCGCAACGAGCGCAACCCACGUCAUUAGUUGCUAACGGUUCGGCCGAGCACUCUAAUGAGACUGCCUUCGCAAGGAGGAGGAAGGUGUGGACGACGUCAAGUCAUCAUGGCCCUUAUGUCCGGGGCGACACACGUGCUACAAUGGCGUAUACAAUGAGACGCAAUAUCGCGAGAUGGAGCAAAUCUAUAAAAUACGUCCCAGUUCGGAUUGGAGUCUGCAACUCGACUCCAUGAAGCCGGAAUCGCUAGUAAUCGUAGAUCAGCCAUGCUACGGUGAAUACGUUCCCGGGUCUUGUACUCACCGCCCGUCACACCAUGGGAGUUGAUUUCACUCGAAGCCCAAAUACCAAACUGGUUAUGNUCCACAG
rnacentral:rRNA from 1 species